AGAACGCUGAAGAGAGGAGCUUGCUCUUCUUGGAUGAGUUGCGAACGGGUGAGUAACGCGUAGGUAACCUGCCUUGUAGCGGGGGAUAACUAUUGGAAACGAUAGCUAAUACCGCAUAACAAUGGAUGACACAUGUCAUUUAUUUGAAAGGGGCAACUGUUCCACUACAAGAUGGACCUGCGUUGUAUUAGCUAGUAGGUGAGGUAAUGGCUCACCUAGGCGACGAUACAUAGCCGACCUGAGAGGGUGAUCGGCCACACUGGGACUGAGACACGGCCCAGACUCCUACGGGAGGCAGCAGUAGGGAAUCUUCGGCAAUGGGGGCAACCCUGACCGAGCAACGCCGCGUGAGUGAAGAAGGUUUUCGGAUCGUAAAGCUCUGUUGUAAGUCAAGAACGGGUGUGAGAGUGGAAAGUUCACACUGUGACGGUAGCUUACCAGAAAGGGACGGCUAACUACGUGCCAGCAGCCGCGGUAAUACGUAGGUCCCGAGCGUUGUCCGGAUUUAUUGGGCGUAAAGCGAGCGCAGGCGGUUUGAUAAGUCUGAAGUUAAAGGCUGUGGCUCAACCAUAGUUCGCUUUGGAAACUGUCAAACUUGAGUGCAGAAGGGGAGAGUGGAAUUCCAUGUGUAGCGGUGAAAUGCGUAGAUAUAUGGAGGAACACCGGUGGCGAAAGCGGCUCUCUGGUCUGUAACUGACGCUGAGGCUCGAAAGCGUGGGGAGCGAACAGGAUUAGAUACCCUGGUAGUCCACGCCGUAAACGAUGAGUGCUAGGUGUUGGAUCCUUUCCGGGAUUCAGUGCCG
rnacentral:rRNA from 1 species